UAUUGACAUCUUGAUAUUUUACCAAACUGCGUACUAGCAUGGCAUAUUGACAUAUUUUCAAUAGGUUCAAGGAUAAUUCCUUAGUCAGUUUUCAGCAUCAACCAUUAAACCUACUUGUGUGUUCACUGCUUUCAAGAAAAGGCUUCAGCCUCAAAAGCAUAUGGAUUUCUGAGGAAAAACGGUUCAGCUUCUAAAGAAAGGCACUACCCUCUUAGUACUAUUAUUGUGCUCGAUUGGAAUUGCCUGCAUUUGUGGUAGUUUAUCUUCUCUGGUUCAUGCAGACAGGAUCCCAGGAAUAAAAUGAGCUCGUCACCUCUUCUUUGAUUGGAUCUGCAGAGUAGCGGCAGCGGUUGUUUUGCCACCGCACCAGCAGUAGCGCGUCUGUCAUCAGCUUAGGAAGGUCGCCAGAGUAGUGAACAUGAAUGCAGAAGGCAUUUUGAGUAAUUAGAAGCAAAUAUAUUUAGCAAUUGGGGAGUACAUAUUUGAGUACAUUUUGCAGUUCUAAUUCAGAUAGUUCUGCAAAUGAAAAAUUGUAGGCAGUUAAAUAUAGAACUUUGCAAGUCUCAAAACUGUGCUCUAAGACGCAUGAUGAUGCAUGCCAUUUAUGUGUUUUUCCCCAUGGAUUUGAUGUUGUGUAUUCAGAAGUGCCUGGUGA